rnacentral:rRNA from 1 species
UGCGUAGGCGGUUUGAUAAGUCAGGAGUGAAAGUCUACGGCUUAACUGUAGAAUUGCUUUUGAUACUGUCAGACUUGGAUGUGGUUGAGGUAUGCGGAAUGUGGCAUGUAGCGGUGAAAUGCAUAGAUAUGCCAUGGAACACCAAUUGCGAAGGCAGCAUACCGGGCCAUGAUUGACGCUGAGGCACGAAAGCGUGGGGAGCGAACAGGAUUAGAUACCCUGGUAGUCC